rnacentral:rRNA from 1 species
GAGUUUGAUCAUGGCUCAGGACGAACGCUGGCGGCGUGCUUAACACAUGCAAGUCGAACGGAAAGGCCCUUCGGGGUACUCGAGUGGCGAACGGGUGAGUAACACGUGGGUGAUCUGCCCUGCACUUUGGGAUAAGCCUGGGAAACUGGGUCUAAUACCGAAUAGGAUCAUGCUCUUCAUGGGGUGUGGUGGAAAGCUUUUGCGGUGUGGGAUGGGCCCGCGGCCUAUCAGCUUGUUGGUGGGGUAAUGGCCUACCAAGGCGACGACGGGUAGCCGGCCUGAGAGGGUGACCGGCCACACUGGGACUGAGAUACGGCCCAGACUCCUACGGGAGGCAGCAGUGGGGAAUAUUGCACAAUGGGCGCAAGCCUGAUGCACCGACGCCGCGUGAGGGAUGACGGCCUUCGGGUUGUAAACCUCUUUCACCAGGGACGAAGCGCAAGUGACGGUACCUGGAGAAGAAGCACCGGCCAACUACGUGCCAGCAGCCGCGGUAAUACGUAGGGUGCGAGCGUUGUCCGGAAUUACUGGGCGUAAAGAGCUCGUAGGUGGUUUGUCGCGUUGUUCGUGAAAACUCACAACUCAAUUGUGGGCGUGCGGGCGAUACGGGCAGACUAGAGUACUGCAGGGGAGACUGGAAUUCCUGGUGUAGCGGUGGAAUGCGCAGAUAUCAGGAGGAACACCGGUGGCGAAGGCGGGUCUCUGGGCAGUAACUGACGCUGAGGAGCGAAAGCGUGGGGAGCGAACAGGAUUAGAUACCCUGGUAGUCCACGCCGUAAACGGUGGGUACUAGGUGUGGGUUCCUUCCUUGGGAUCCGUGCCGUAGCUAACGCAUUAAGUACCCCGCCUGGGGAGUACGGCCGCAAGGCUAAAACUCAAAGGAAUUGACGGGGGCCCGCACAAGCGGCGGAGCAUGUGGAUUAAUUCGAUGCAACGCGAAGAACCUUACCUGGGUUUGACAUGCACAGGACGCCGGCAGAGAUGUCGGUUCCCUUGUGGCCUGUGUGCAGGUGGUGCAUGGCUGUCGUCAGCUCGUGUCGUGAGAUGUUGGGUUAAGUCCCGCAACGAGCGCAACCCUUGUCCUAUGUUGCCAGCGGGUUAUGCCGGGGACUCGUAGGAGACUGCCGGGGUCAACUCGGAGGAAGGUGGGGAUGACGUCAAGUCAUCAUGCCCCUUAUGUCCAGGGCUUCACACAUGCUACAAUGGCCGGUACAAAGGGCUGCGAUGCCGUGAGGUGGAGCGAAUCCUUUCAAAGCCGGUCUCAGUUCGGAUCGGGGUCUGCAACUCGACCCCGUGAAGUCGGAGUCGCUAGUAAUCGCAGAUCAGCAACGCUGCGGUGAAUACGU